GGCCUAUCUCACCGCUAUAUAGGAAUCCCCGGCCAGACAAGCACUCAGUCACUCCCAGCCCGUGCCGCCGAGACACUGGAAGAAGCAGCAAAGGACUCUCUCUUAAUCCAGCAGCAGUGAACGCAAGGAAUCCAGUCCUGCACACGCUUGGCAGUCCAGACGAAGCCAUGAAGGUCACCGGAUGGACUACCAUGAUGGCGGUGGUGCUGAUGGCGCUGGUGCUGGUGCUGGGACCAGGGGUGGAGGCGGGCAGCAAAGACGUACGAGCAGUCCCCAGGGUCCCUAGGCGGGUCUUCAACGGCCGUCGAGGAAACAGGCCGUCAGCGGGUGUCAUACAAACAUGUACCCGCCCCCCGUGCAGAAGGCCACCCAUCAUAGGGUGGUUCCCAGGGUAACCCAGAGACCAGCGAGGACCGCCGCACCCUCCCCUGAAGCAUGGGAGUGAUGGGCACCUCUCCGCGUCGCCGAGCCAAAGCCUAGGAGAUAUGUAGCUCCUAACCCUUCAAAUACGUCUCAAGAAUGUACACAGCGAAUAAAAAUACACAUGGAAGUCUUUACUAUUCUAUUCCUUACACGAAUGGAAUGCUUUGUGUCUAAGUGCAGUGUUCUGAAAUGCCAGAAUUUUUCUCUUUUCUACACUCACACACGUCCUCUGCGUGUAACGGAACACACGAGAAAUUAAUCCAGACAAGGAAAGGUUUGCCGGUUUUCCCGCGACCAGCGUAAUGGGAAAGCUACUCCUUUACCAGUCGGCCAAAGAGGCACCCACUGGCAGAGGGAGUUAUGGGAGGCUCACCCAUCAGGCUAGUCGUGUCACUGCACGGCUCCCCAUUCCUAUUUAGAUUAAUUUCUGUGUGUUGAGUUCCCAUUUUCUAUGAACUUCGGAGAGCACGGGUCAUCCAUGGGGCCAUCACUCUACCUGUUAGCCCUUCUGGGAGACACAACAGAGCCACAGGAGAGGAUGCCCCCGCCUUGCCACCAGCGAAAUGCCAUGACAAGCCCCGUGAUAAGGUCAGAUAUUUUUUCUGUUAUAUUUAUUUUAAUGAUGAGUUUCACCUAAAAAAUAUAAUAAUAAAUAUAAAAAAUUCGUCAAACUUUUUUGGCUCUGAAACAUCAAAACUUCAAAGGGAAAUGUUUUUUUUUCUUUCUUUCUUUUCUACGAUGCGUUUAACUGGGCGAGAUCAUUAUCAUCAUCAUCAUCAUUAAUCAUUAUUAUUAUUAUUAUUAUUAGGCAUAAAUUCAGUAAAGGACGGUCUUCCCCAGCUUAUUCCAACUUUGUCUAUCUGUGUAUCUAUCGAUCUAUCUAUCUGUCUGUAUUCUCUCUCUCUCUCUCUCUCUCUCUCUCUCUCUCUCUCUCUCUCUCUCUCUCUCUCUCUCUCUCUCUCUCUCUCUCUCUCUCUCUCUCUCAGAAUAGGUUUUAUCUACUUGAAGGAAAAAAAAAUGGAAAUACCCGGAUCAUAACACCUUUCCGAGAGGCAUACCCAUGGAGGGACGGCCUAUCUCACCGCUACAUAGGAAUCCCCCGGCCAGACAAGCACUCAAAAGCUCCCAGCCCGUGCCGCCGAGACGAAGGAAGAAGCAGCGAAGGACUCUCUUAAUCCUGCAGCAGUGGACGCGACGAACCGUGGGCCCUUCACACGCUUGGCAGUCACGACGAAGCCAUGAAGAUCUCAGGGUGGACUUCAAUGAUGGGAGUGGUGCUGAUGGCGCUGGUGCUGGUGCUGGGGCCGUCCAUCACAGGGGUGGAGGCGGGCAGCAGAGACCUACGAGACAUCAUCAGGGUCCACUCACUUGUCUACAACGGCACACCAGCAAUCAGAGCGUCAGCGGGUGCCCUACGAGGAUGUUCCCGCCCCCCGUGCAGAAGGCCACGCAUCACAAGCUGGUUCUUUGGGUAACCAAGGGACCAGUGGGGACCGCCGCUCCCUCCCCUGAAGCAUGGGAGUGAUGGGCACCUCCCCGCCCCGCCGAGCCGUGGCUGACGCGCGCGGAGACGCAAGAACUAACCUCGUAACUCUUAUCUCUCUCUCUCUCUCUCUCUCUCUCUCUCUCUAUCUUUCAUGUCCGCGGUCUUCCUUCCUUCCUUCCUUUCUUUUUUUUCUUUCUUUCAUUAUUUCUUUCUUUCUUCCUUUCUUCCUUCUUUCCUUCUUUUUCCUUUUUCUUUCAUUUUCCUCUUUCCUUCCUCCUUUCCUUUUCUCUUUUCCUUCUUUCUUCUCCUUCUUUCUUCUCCAUACUUCUUCCUUCACGCGUCUCCUUAUUUCUUUUUCUUCUUUCUUCCUUCACGUUUAAUGCUCGUUCGUCCUCGAAGCGAAUAACCUACACAGAAGAUAUGUAACUCCUAAUCCUUCAAAUACGUAUCAGGAAUGUACUCAAGGAAUAAAUAUAAGCGUGGAAGUCUUUACUCUUCUAUCCCUUACACGAAUGGAAUGCUUUGUGUCUCAGGGCAGUGUUCAACGUGCCUAUAACAUAUUACAUUUUACUGUGAUCUUGGAGACUUGGCCCGUAGUCUCAGACGCUAUCGGCUCUCACGACAACUAUUAUUUACUAAGGCCACAAAGAAGGUUAGUUGGGUUCUUAUGAGUGUUUUAUUUUAAUUCAUGGUGCAGCAGAGGCCUUGUCAAAACUGUCUCUAGGCUCAUAAUCCUACACUUGGAAGUACCCACGACAUCCCCUACGAAAGCCCCCCCCCCUCCCCCUCCCCCCGCCCACACACACACACACACACACACACAAGCAAACAAGCAAACGAAAAACUCUCUCUCUCUCUCUCUCUCUCUCUCUCUCUCUCUCUCUCUCUCUCUCUCUCUCUCUCUCUCUCUCUCUCUCUCUCUCUCUCUCUCUCUCUCUCUCUCUCUCUCUCUCUAAACUGGAUAAAUUCAGAUUCAAAAGAUCCAAAAAUUGGUUUACUAUCAGGGUUGUGGAUGAGUGGAAUAGGCUUAGCAGUCAUGUGGUGAGUGCUAAUACCAUUGUCACAUUUAAAAAUAGAUUAGAUAAAUUCAUGGACAACGAUAAUAGGUGGGGUUAGAUACACGGGAGCUUAGGGUCAAAGGAGCUGCCUUGUAUAGGCCUACCGUCCUCUUGCAGACUCCAACGUUCUUUUGUUCUUAUGUUCUCUCUCUCUCUCUCUCUCUCUCUCUCUCUCUCUCUCUCUCUCUCUCUCUCUCUCUCUCUCUCUCUCUCUCUCUCUCUCUCUCUCUCUCUCUCUCUCUCAGAACAGGUUUUGUUAAUGCACGAUUUUAUUCGAACAUUUUUCUGCUUGAAAGAAAAAAUAUGGGAAUACCCAGAGAGGCAUACCUCACCCCCCGCGGCCCGGCAAGCACUCAGUCGCUCCCAGCCCGUGCCGCCAAGACGAAGGAAGGAGCAGCGCAGGACUCUCUUAAUCCUGCAGCAGUGAACGCGAGGAAUCCUGCGCCUGAGUCCUUCACUCCCUUGGCAGUCACGACGAAGUAAGGACAUGAAGGUCACCGGGUGGACCUCCGUGAUGACGGUGGUGCUGAUGGCGCUGGUGCUGGUGCUGGGGCCGUCCAUCACAGGGGUGGAGGCGGGCAGCAGAGACGUACGAGCAAUCCCCAGGCUCCCUAAGAGGGUCUACAACGGCCGCCCAGGAAACAGGCCGUCAGCGGGUGCCAUACGAAGAUGUUCCCGCCCCCCGUGCAGAAGGCCACACAUCACAAGCUGGUUCUUUGGGUAACCCAGGGACCAGUGGGGACCGCCGCUCCCUCCCCUGAAGCAUGGGAGUGAUGGGCACCUCCCCGCCCCGCCGAGCCGUGGCUGACGCGCUCGGAGAGACUCAAGAACUAACCUAGUAAUUCUUAUCUAUCUAUCUAUCUUUCAUGUCCGCGGUCUUCCUUCCUUCCUUCCUUUCUUUUUUCUUUUCUUUCAUUCUUUCUUCCUUUCUUCCUUCUUUCAUUUUUCCUUUUUCUUUCCUUUUCCACCUUCCUUCCUUCUUUCAUUCUUUCUUUUCCUUUUCUCUUUUCCUCCUUUUCAUCUUCUUAUUUCUUGUCCAUAUUUGUUCCUUCACGUGUCUACUUAUUUUUUUUCCUUCUUUCUUCCUUCACGUUUAAUGCUUGUUCAUCCUCGAAGCGAAAAACCUAUAUAGGAGAUAUUAAACUCCUAACCCUUCAAAUGCGUAUCAAGAAUGUACUCAAGGAAUAAAUAUAAACGAGGAA